rnacentral:rRNA from 1 species
UACGUAGGGGGCAAGCGUUGUCCGGAAUUAUUGGGCGUAAAGCGCGUGUAGGCGGCUCGAUAAGUCUGCUGUGAAAGUCCAGGGCUCAACCCUGGAAUGCCGGUGGAUACUGUCGAGCUAGAGUCCGGAAGAGGCGAGUGGAAUUCCUGGUGUAGCGGUGAAAUGCGCAGAUAUCAGGAGGAACACCAAUGGCGAAGGCAGCUCGCUGGGACGGUACUGACGCUGAGACGCGAAAGCGUGGGGAGCGAAAAGG